rnacentral:lncRNA from 1 species
AACGCAGCGUCCAUUGUGAGAUGCCGCAGUUCCAUGCAGUCAGAAGAUGGCUCCAGCGCGUUAAUUUUGCUCCUGUUUCUAGCAUGAGAUUUAAGGGGCAAGAUGCACUUCAGUGCUAUUUUUCCUUUCCGAUUUUGCCGUCGUCUCAUUUGGUUCAAAACAUCAAACUGCAGCAUAUAUGGAGUUGUAAAGGGUCCAUUAAUAUAGAUGUUCUAGUCACCAGCUAAUGCAGAUGGAAAGGGAAAUACAGGGCCACAGAAGGAGAUUGAAAAGCACCGGCCUAAGCAA